UCGAAUGAGGAUUUGAAUAGUUACUUGAACACGUUUGGCAACUGCUGUAUGCAGCUUUCGAAUUUGGUUUCGCGUUGUUUUGAAGCAUUUAGUUUAAUUUUAGGAGCAUAAGAAUAGUGGUUGAGUUAUGACCUAUUCACAGAAAGGUGGAACUUUAAACACUGGUGGCCCUGGAUUUGUGGGUAUAAAAUUUUGUCAGGAAUGCAAUAAUAUGUUGUAUCCAAGAGAGGACAAAGAAAACAAAGUUCUCCUCUAUGCAAAUAGUAAAAUAAGUUGGGGCACCAACUUCAGGCAACUUUUCACAUAGCAGAGCCAAGAGGUAACUUUCAAAUUUGUGCACCAAAAAU
rnacentral:lncRNA from 1 species